GACGGGUGAGUAAUGCCUAGGAAUCUGCCUGGUAGUGGGGGAUAACGCUCGGAAACGGACGCUAAUACCGCAUACGUCCUACGGGAGAAAGCAGGGGACCUUCGGGCCUUGCGCUAUCAGAUGAGCCUAGGUCGGAUUAGCUAGUUGGUGAGGUAAUGGCUCACCAAGGCGACGAUCCGUAACUGGUCUGAGAGGAUGAUCAGUCACACUGGAACUGAGACACGGUCCAGACUCCUACGGGAGGCAGCAGUGGGGAAUAUUGGACAAUGGGCGAAAGCCUGAUCCAGCCAUGCCGCGUGUGUGAAGAAGGUCUUCAGAUUGUAAAGCACUUUAAGUUGGGAGGAAGGGCAGUUACCUAAUACGUAUCUGUUUUGACGUUACCGACAGAAUAAGCACCGGCUAACUCUGUGCCAGCAGCCGCGGUAAUACAGAGGGUGCAAGCGUUAAUCGGAAUUACUGGGCGUAAAGCGCGCGUAGGUGGUUCGUUAAGUUGGAUGUGAAAUCCCCGGGCUCAACCUGGGAACUGCAUUCAAAACUGACGAGCUAGAGUAUGGUAGAGGGUGGUGGAAUUUCCUGUGUAGCGGUGAAAUGCGUAGAUAUAGGAAGGAACACCAGUGGCGAAGGCGACCACCUGGACUGAUACUGACACUGAGGUGCGAAAGCGUGGGGAGCAAAACAGUAUUAGAUACCCUGGUAGUCCACGCCGUAAACGAUGUCAACUAGCCGUUGGGAGCCUUGAGCUCUUAGUGGCGCAGCUAACGCAUUAAGUUGACCGCCUGGGGAGUACGGCCGCAAGGUUA
rnacentral:rRNA from 1 species